GAUGAACGCUGGCGGCGUGCCUAAUACAUGCAAGUCGAGCGAACAGACGAGGAGCUUGCUCCUCUGACGUUAGCGGCGGACGGGUGAGUAACACGUGGAUAACCUACCUAUACGACUGGGAUAACUUCGGGAAACCGGAGCUAAUACCGGAUAAUAUAUUGAACCGCAUGGUUCAAUAGUGAAAGACGGUUUUGCUGUCACUGAUAGAUGGAUCCGCGCCGCAUUAGCUAGUUGGUAAGGUAACGGCUUACCAAGGCAACGAUGCGUAGCCGACCUGAGAGGGUGAUCGGCCACACUGGAACUGAGACACGGUCCAGACUCCUACGGGAGGCAGCAGUAGGGAAUCUUCCGCAAUGGGCGAAAGCUUGACGGAGCAACGCCGCGUGAGUGAUGAAGGUCUUCGGAUCGUAAAACUCUGUUAUUAGGGAAGAACAAAUGUGUAAGUAACUAUGCACGUCUUGACGGUACCUAAUCAGAAAGCCACGGCUAACUACGUG
rnacentral:rRNA from 1 species